rnacentral:rRNA from 1 species
UACGUAGGGUGCGAGCGUUAAUCGGAAUUACUGGGCGUAAAGCGUACGCAGGCGGCUUCGCAAGUCAGGCGUGAAAUCCCCCGGGCUUAACCUGGGAAUGGCGUCUGAAACUACGGAGCUGGAGUGUGGCAGAGGGAGGUAGAAUUCCACGUGUAGCGGGUGAAAUGCGUAGAUAUUUAGGAGGAACACCAGUGGCGAAGGGCGGCUUUCUGGACAGUAACUGACGUGAGGCGCGAAAGCGUGGGGGAGCAAACAGG